rnacentral:rRNA from 1 species
UACGUAGGGGGCAAGCGUUGUCCGGAUUUAUUGGGCGUAAAGAGCGUGUAGGCGGCCAUGUAGGUCCGUUGUGAAAACUCGAGGCUCAACCUCGAGACGCCGAUGGAAACCAUGUGGCUAGAGUCCGGAAGAGGAGAGUGGAAUUCCUGGUGUAGCGGUGAAAUGCGUAGAUAUCAGUCGGAACACCCGUGGCGAAGGCGGCUUCUUGGGCCUUUCCUGACGCUGAUGCGCGAAAGCUGGGGGAGCGAACGGG